UGUACCUUAGAACUUUCUAGGACCAUGUAUUUCAUAACAGUGCCCUAAAAUAGUGUUUUUCAGCCCACCCGCCCCCAAAUACACAGAGCGGUUUAUUUUUUAAAAAAUUGAAUUUAUAUACUGCCCAAUAUCAAAAUCUCUAGGCGGUGCACAGAAUUAAAACAUAAUAUAAAAUGUAAAAGGUUUAAAAUUCAAAAAAGAGAGAUAAAAAUGAUAAUAAAAACACAUUAAAAUUUUAAAAAGAUCUGUACCAGUUGAAGGUCCGGGGAAAAUAGGUACGUCUUCAGGGUCCUCCUAAAAACAAACAGCAAAGGAGAUGCUCUUAUUUCAUCAGGAAACAAGGAAAGGUGUGAGAAGAUAAUUUACAAUGGAAAAGGUGUGAGAAGAUAGUUCUCUGUCCCAAUGGAGCUCACCGUCUAAAAGGAAGCCCUAGGUAGACACCAGCAACAGCUACUGAGAGAGAGACUAUGAGUGGUGAGCCAGUCUUGUGGUAGCGAGCACGAAUGAUCCCCUUUGCUAAGCAGGGUUUUCCUUGGUUUUCCUUUGGAUGAACAACUACCUGUGAGCACUGUCUGCUGUAAGAUAUUUUCCUUAGCAAAUGGGGCUGUAGCUGGAUGCCACAUGGGAACCCCCCACAUUCAAGCUGUAUAAAGGCCCCAAAAUUCAGGCCUGAGUCACAGUGUGUGAAGGGCCAGUGAAACUGCCAAAAGCCCAAUAGUACGCCCCUUGUGCAGCUUAGCUUCCUCCAUGCUGGGGUUUUGGCCUCUGUUGUGAGGUAAACCCAUGUAUCUGAUGAAUGAUUGGGCAGCAUCCUCGGGAAAUACCUUUGUGUAUCCAUUUAUGAGGUAAAGUCUUAUGAAGUUUCACCAAUCUAACUCAUGUGGAAACACCUCCGUGAACCCAUUUAUGAAGUAAACCACUAGGAAGUGUGAGCGGCCUAAUGAAGAAAUACCUUUGUGUAUCCAUUUAUGAGCCAGCGAGAAUUUCAGGAGGCAAGGUCAAUGCUUAUUGGAAAAGGAGCAAGACAAGGGCGGGUAAUUUUCGGGGGCCAUGCCCGUCCUUCCCUCGGCAGCUCCGUGGAUCUCUUCACACACGGAUGCCACCUUGCACACACCACAGGAGAGGCGCUGUGAGGCACCAGAUGGAAAGCGACAUGGCAGGAUCCAGAGGCGUAUUUGAACGACCCCAGUGUCAAGGAGCCGCCCGGUCGAGCCAAGCCUCUAUGAAAUCACCCUCCAAGCGGGGUUGAUAUUUCCAGGGAAUCCAAGCAAUGCUUGGCAACUUUCCAUCUUGAAGCCGUGACAUUUCGUCCUGUACUUUGAGAUGUGUUUAAAUGAGUACGCCGUGCAAAGGCCCCGAGGGAUCUUGGGAGUCGCAGGAGAAUUUGGUCACGGGCAGUCGCAACCUUUCCUUUACCAUUGCUGCUUAAAUACAGAGCAAACAAGCUGGAAUUAUAAAGUCACGUCAAAGCAAGGUUUCAAAAUAAAAUGUACUAUAUACCUAGGGCUUCCCCGAGGGACCUUUCUCAUGGUUGCAUGUUUUGUUAACGAAAAGGAGGGGAAAGCUUUUUCUGCUGCUAUGAAAUAUUUCUCUUCUCCCCAGCACCUUCUCAAUGGAUGGCUAUUAUUUUAUGGAUGUAUAUUACAUUGUUUUAUAACCCACCUUUCCUCUCCAAACCAAGAGGAGGAAGCUGAUCUUGCAGUAGUGAGCAUGAAUUGUCUACUUGGCUAAGCAGGGUUCACUCUGGUUUGCAUAUGGAUGGUGACUACAUGUGAAUGCUGGAAGAUAUUCCCUGUACGGGAUAGGGCUGUAGCAUCAGUGGUGGAGCAUCUGCUUUGCAUAUGGAAGGUCCAAGUUUCACUCCCUGGCAGCAUCUCCAGGUAGGGCUGGGGAAGACCUCUGUCUGAAACCUUGGAGAAGAUGCUGCCAGUCAGGGAAGACAAUACUAAGCUAGACAGACAAACAUCUGACUCUGCAUAAGGCAGCUUCCUAUGGAAGGGUUUCUCAGCCAGCAGCAAACAGGUGAUGGGCUCUAGACAGAAGUGUCUUCCCUUUCCAGACACAAUGCUAAUUGUAUGAAGGGUCGAACUCUGAAGCCACAGGAUUACCCACGAAAUAUUUGGCCUGAGGUGCUCUCGUCGAGCGGGAGGUUUGUUAUGGGCCAUUGACUUCCUGUCAAAAUAGAUCCCACACCCAUUAAUUGUCAUAUGACAUAUGGGGAGAAAACACCAAGCCAAAACAAAACAAGAGAUGCUAACAGGCUUGGGAGAGACGUAUUCCUGGACUGUCCCCCAGGAAUCUGUGGGAAUGAUGGAGCUCUGUGAAUCCUACACUUCUCUCUUUGAGAGGGACACCUUGAGGUGCUCUGGUGGGUGGGGGGCUACAUAUGAAAGCUGUGAGAUGGGGCCGCAGGUCAGUUGGAAGAUCGUCGGUGUGCUUGGCACACAGAAGGUCCCAGGUUCAAUCUCUGGCAGUAUCUCCAGGUAGGGUUGGGAGAGACUCCUGCCUGAAAGCGUGGAGAAGCCAUUGGCAGUCCGUGUAGACAAUA